rnacentral:misc_RNA from 1 species
UCCGGUUUGUCACCGGCAGUCUCAUUAGAGUGCUCAACUGAAUGUAGCAACUAAUGACAAGGGUUGCGCUCGUUGCGGGACUUAACCCAACACCUCACGGCACGAGCUGACGAUAGCCAUGCAGCACCUGAACCGGCGGUCCCCGAAGGGAAAGUCCUAUUUCUAGGAUUGUCCACCGUUGUCUAGCCCAGGUAAGGUUCUUCGCGUUGCGUCGAAUUGAACCACAUGCUCCACCGCUUGUGCGGGCCCCCGUCAAUUCCUUUGAGUUUCAGCCUUGCGGCCGUACUCCCCAGGCGGGACACUUAAUGCGUUAGCUGCGGCACCGGAGGGGUCGAUACCCCCGACACCUAGUGCUCACCGUUUACGGCGUGGACUAC